rnacentral:rRNA from 1 species
GAUGAACGCUGGCGGCGUGCCUAAUACAUGCAAGUCGAGCGAACAGACGAGGAGCUUGCUCCUCUGACGUUAGCGGCGGACGGGUGAGUAACACGUGGAUAACCUACCUAUAAGACUGGGAUAACUUCGGGAAACCGGAGCUAAUACCGGAUAAUAAAUUGAACCGCAUGGUUCAAUAGUGAAAGACGGUUUUGCUGUCACUUAUAGAUGGAUCCGCGCCGCAUUAGCUAGUUGGUAAGGUAACGGCUUACCAAGGCGACGAUGCGUAGCCGACCUGAGAGGGUGAUCGGCCACACUGGAACUGAGACACGGUCCAGACUCCUACGGGAGGCAGCAGUAGGGAAUCUUCCGCAAUGGGCGAAAGCCUGACGGAGCAACGCCGCGUGAGUGAUGAAGGUCUUCGGAUCGUAAAACUCUGUUAUUAGGGAAGAACAAAUGUGUAAGUAACUAUGCACGUCUUGACGGUACCUAAUCAGAAAGCCACGGCUAACUACGAG